CGGUGUGAGGGUGAAACGAGCCGUCCCCAUACCCCGUCCGGUAUGGGCGCCAAAACACAUAAGAUCUCCAUACCCCAUCCGGUAUGAGAGACCACAAUUCCGGUAGGGUUCCCUACGGAUCCGGUCCGUCCACCAUCUCCCAGGAUAUCUAGUCAGGCUGACCACAUUAUACAAUUAUCAAUUUACAUAACAUUUCAUUUCCCUUUUUCCUCAGUCAGCAUCAUCAAAUCACACACAAACAAGCAAACCAGUAAUUUAUGCCAAACAAGACAACAUACAACAUCGGGUUCUCAGUCAUUCAACCCAUAAUCAAUAAAACAGUGAUAUAUGCACACGAAACUAUAAAAUGAAAACAUCAGAUCUCAUACUGCAUUUAAAAACUGUAAAAUAGGCCAAACAACAGCUGACCGACAAACACACCAGACUCGGGCUCCAUUAGCGACCUUAAACAAUUUCACACAUAUAUUGAUUCAUGAAAUACCAUUUUAUCAUUUAUUGAACUUUAAUACCGUGAUAGGAAAUAGGGUGAGGAAUCCUUACUUGUUUUCGGGGUCUGAUUACGGCUCUACAGUGCCCCUACAAGCUGU
rnacentral:lncRNA from 1 species